UGCCGAGCAACUCCUAUCCCUACCUCCUCGCGGCACUGGCCGGGGUACGAGUAACCUUAGGGAAUAUCGGGUUACCAACCCCGGUGGCAACUCUGGUCUGGGAAGG
rnacentral:ribozyme from 1 species